AAGCCAGACUCCUACGGAGGCAGCAGUGAGGGAUAUUGCACAAUGGGGGAACCCUGAUGCAGCGACGCCGCGUGGGUGAAGGAGUAUUUCGGUAUGUAAAGCCCUAUCGGCAGGGAAGAAGCAAGACGGUACCUGACUAAGAAGCCCCGGCUAACUACGUGCCAGCAGCCGCGGUAAUACGUAGGGGGCAAGCGUUAUCCGGAUUCACUGGGUGUAAAGGGAGCGUAGACGGCGACGCAAGUCUGGAGUGAAAGCCCGGGGCCCAACCCCGGGACUGCUCUGGAAACUGCGUCGCUGGAGUACGGGAGGGGCAGGCGGAAUUCCUGGUGUAGCGGUGAAAUGCGUAGAUAUCAGGAGGAACACCGGCGGCGAAGGCGGCCUGCUGGACCGUGACUGACGUUGAGGCUCGAGAGCGUGGGGAGCAAACAGGAUUAGAUACCCUUGUAU
rnacentral:rRNA from 1 species